AUUAAAAACAAAAACACAAACCCACCAGAGCAUUUGAAGGAAAAAAAAACAACCCUCAGGAUGAUUAAAUUUGCUAAACCACGUCAUGCUGAAGAAGCAGUCAUUUCCUUACAUUAAUUAUUUGUCUUCAAGGUUUUGUCAUAUUUCUUCACACUCUCAUUAUUGCCAAAGUUAGAGAUGAAGACAUUUAUUUUGGGGACUAGAUCUACAUAGAAUUACCCUGUUUUCUCCCUUUUUUUUUUUUUUUUAAUUUCAGGGCACAGUGUGAUUCCUGGCCCAUUAUUUACCCUUCAAACAUAGAACUUGCUGGGGAGGCUCACUUAAAAUUGAGUGUCAGUUUUCUUCCAUAACCCUUCCUAUGGCCAAGUUUCUGUCCUUUAGAGUACAGAUUUGAUCAUGUAAGUUUAUUAUAUAAUUUUCUGAUUCUUUAUUUUGAUGUUUUAUUUUAUUCGACCACUUUAUUUAUAUAAUGGUGUAUUGAUAAAUAUAGAAAGGUUUCCCUUUGCUUGACAAAACCAUCCUUUUGUUAUGAGGUAAAAGUUACAUUUCUUGUUGAUGUUUUAUAAAGUGUAGUAAUUUAUUUUUCUGCUUGAUUACAAGAUUAGGAAUCAAGAGCCAUCUAAUUUAUCUCAAUGAGUUUUCACCUGCAGUACUUAAAACCGUAGGGCAUCAUGGUUCUGUAAGAUUCCCACAUUUGUCAGUUUUCCUUGUCUGUCAGGAAGUGAUAUACUUUAUUGCUUUUAAAGCUGGGAAUCUAAGUAAGUUAUAAAAGAGAUACUAUAUUGAUUUCCUGUGAAGACAUAGUAGGCAUCAUUUCUACAUUUGAGAUUCAGUCCUUGUUCCCUGUCAUACCUUAUUAAAAGAGAUUUGCUUUUAAAUGUCACAAUGUUCUGUGGUCAUGGUUACAAAUUUGAUUUACCCCAUUUUAUCCUGGCAGGAAGGAAAACAAAUUUUUAAUUGAAACUAUGUAAGCUGGCUCAUAAAAAGAGAGAUUCAGUUAAGAUAUUUUUUAUAAGAUGUAAUCAUUUUUCUAAGUUGUUUCUAAACGAGGUCAAUCAAUAUGUUCAGUAUUUUUUCUUAGAAUUGUUUUUAAAAUAUUCUGGCAGCAAUUAUAAUCUAUAUUUGGAUCUUUCGUAGGAUAUUUUUUACCCUUGAAAUUGUGAGGGUAUUAGAAUGAGAUAUUAUUUAAAUUACUGUUUAUACAAAGUAUAUCUUAAAUUGAGAGUGGAAGGUAGACUAAGAAGAAAGUCCUUUUCUUAUUUGUCCAUUAAAAAUAAAAUAUUAAGGAGUUGCCAUUGUGGUUCAGUGGGCUAAGGACCCGAUGUCUUCUGAGGUUGCAGGUUUGAUUCCUGACCUGGCUCAGUGGGUUAAGUUGUCUGGUGCUGCUGCAAGCUUUGGUGCAGUAUAUGGAAGUUCCUGGGCUAGGGCUUGAAUCAGAGCUGCAGCUGAGGUCUAUGCCACAACCACAGCAACACCAGAUCCAAGCUGCCUUUAUGAUCUGUGCCUCAGCUUGUGACAAUACUGGAUUCUUAAUCCACUGAGUGAGGCCAGGGAUUGAACCUGCAUCCUCAUGGAGAUUACGUUGGGUUCUUAACCCAUUGAACCACAAUGGGAACUCUUGAAGCUAUUCUUAUUUUUUACUUUUUUUCCCCUCAAUGGAAACAUGCCCAAUCUGUUAUAAGUUUCCAAAUGUUCUGAAAUGUCUCUUUAAUUCCUCAGUAUGGAUCUAUCAUUGUUUGCCAGCAUUCACAUCAGACCUUUUCAGUUUGGCAACUUCUCAGUCCUGUAAAUCUUUCUUAAAUAAUUUCAUUGGUGCUAUCUUCUGCCAUUCUAUCAUUCCAAUGUGAAUUUUUGGAUAGAUACUCAGAUUUUCUUUUCUCUCCUAUUUACAACUUUGUCUUUUUGCUUGGGUAAAUUUCUUUAUUAUCAGGUCCUUCUAUUGAGUUUCAUUUUUUUCCCAUCAUGUUCUUAAUUUCAUUUUGUAUUCCUUGCUUGUAGUAUUCUAUUCUUGAUACAUGAAUGCAGCAUCUUUUAAUAUCUGUGUAUAUUAAUGUAUUUUUUAGGUUUUCUCUCUGUGUAGUCUUUUACUUUAUGUUUUAAUUUUUUUUCCCUGUCUCUGCUUUGUAUGUUAGAUUUUUCUUAGUUGUCUUUCUCUCCCUUGCCUGACUGUAUAAUGCGUUGUGGAAGAUUAAGAAGUUGAUUAGAGGAGUUCCCAUGUGGCUCAUUGGGUUAAGGAUCUGGUGUUGUCACUUUAGUGGCUUGGGUCACUGCUGAGGUAUGGGUUUGAUUCCUGGCCCGGGAACUUCUGCAUUCCAUGAGUGUGCCCCUUCUCCCCCCCAAAUAGUUGAUUAAAAUAUCUAAAUUUGUCAGUUUUGAACUUCAUUAAAGGUUUAACUGGGUGGGUUAUUUUUGGAGAGCUUCAAAAACCUUAAGGCCUUGUGUCUUGUGCUUGUUAAAUACCUUCAGAGAGUAGUUUUCCAUUUUCAUACAUGGAGAGUGAGGAUCUGAUUGUCAGCAUUUCUGGGAAAUGAAUGAAGGAAGAGGAGUGGGUUCUCUUCUUCAGUGAGAACUCAGUCUCUUUCUUUUUGGUAUACUAAUCUCAUUUUUUUACUGUGGAUAUUGUCUUCAGACUUCUGCUAGGAUUGUGGAGAGCAGGCAUUCAGUGGAAUGUGGUGAAGGCAUCUAGCAUAUAUUAUUGCUUCACAAACAGCUUUCACUAGUAUUCUCUUUUUUUAGUCAUACUGUCUUACUCUUUGUUCCCUUCACCCCAAUUUCCAAAGUGCUUAGUUCUAGUUUCUAUGUCCUUUGAAAUUGUUGCCAUGUAAAUCAAACUGGUUCUUAUCUCCAGUGCAAUUUGGAAUAUGGUGCUUUGGGAACUAAGUUAGUUGCCAGUGGUUCUGCUUAUUUUCCACCUCCCUAAAUCUUUGUAGCUAUUGUCCCUUUUACUUUUUCUUUGUUGUUGUUCUUGGGGACUUAAUGCCUUCAAAAAAAUACCUUUAAUGUGGUUUUAGUGGGAUUUGAGGGAGUAAAGUUAGAUGUUUUCAGUUUACCAUUUUAAUAACCGUCUAACAUUCCCUUUCUCUUUUAAUAUGUAUAAUGUUGGUAGUAACUUGUGUAAUUAAAGUGAAUUAAUUAAAUGAAUGAAAGCUUCUUCCUUUCUUGACUGAACAUGAGGCAUAUGGAAGUUUCUGGGCCAGAGAUUGAAUCCAAGCCACAUUUAUGACAAUGCAGAUCAUUUAAUGCACUGCACCAGGCUGGGAAUUCAACCCAUGCCUCCACAGCAACCCAAACAAUGCAUUUGGAUUCUUAACCCAUAGCACCACAGCAGGAACUCCCAAGUAUAUUUCUACACAUUGUAGUGAAGCAUUUUAUUUAGGUUCUAUGGAAUUUUCAAUAUUUUCCAUGUGCAAAGUUUUUUAAUAGCAUGGUAUAGAUGAUAUAUAAAAAGUGUAGAAGACCAGAGUUAAUUCUUUUUUUUGGCUAUGUGCAGGGAAUGUGAAAGUUCCUAAGCCAGGUAUUGAACCCACACUGCAUCAGUGGCCUGAGCUGCUGCAGUGAUAGUGCCAGAUCCUUAACUCACUAUACCACAAGGGAACUCCCAAAAUUAAUCCUCUUACGAUUCUUUUUCAUUACUACUUAUGUGACCCCUGGCAAAUGAGUACAUUCCCUGAUCAUAAAAAUUUGAGAUUAUAGCACUCUUAUUUUAUGUGGUCAUUGUAAGAGUGAAAUGAAAAAAUUAUAUAAAAGUUCUAGUUUUACUUAGGAAGAGCUAAACAUUGAGUAAUCAUGGAAAUGUUUACCUAACAAUAGAAAUGCCUUCCAAGAGUAUUUGCUUUUACAAAUAAACAAUGAUUAGGUUUAUUAACACUGACCCUAUCUAAAACAAAUUUUUUUAGUCUAUGACAUUAUAUAAUCAAGCUGUAUUCUUUCUUUGUAAUAUUAAAUUUUUUAAAGUAAAUUAUAUACUUCUGUAAUUUUUUGGAGACUUUUUUUUUCAGAGUUCAGCUAUUCUAAGCACACAUUACCUCCUGUGUAGUGCCUAUAAAAAUACUUUAAAAACUGAAAAAUGCUCUACAAAAAGUAUUUUUUUUUCCAUGUUGGGUUUUGAAGUGCAGAACUUUUUAGGUCAAGACUAAAAACUUAGCUGAUUUAUUCUUCCUAGAAAUUAAGAGUUGGGAUUCUAAAAAUGAAGGUUCUGAAAGAUGUAGAAUUUUCUGAGGUUUUUGUAGUAUAAAUGAAAAUACUGGGAAUUUAAUUUCAACCAACCAUCUAUUAAGCAAAUAAAUACUGUGUUUCACAUUGUGGAAGUGAGCGGAAAAUGAAUUAAGAUGUGAUUUCUGCCUUUUAACAACUCAUAUAUAAAUAAUGAAAUGUGCUAAGUCUAAUGAUAAUAUGUAUGAAAGAUCUUGAGAGAGCUAUGUCACCUGGUUUUGGGGAUGGGCGUAGUAAGGAGAAAGGAGAGCAAGGAAAGGAUUGUUGGUAGUAAGAUAAUUUAGGUUGAAUCAUGAAUAGGAUUUAGGGUGAACUAGGAUAGUUUCUUUGGGAUAGUGGAACGUUGGCAAUGGCACCAGUUAUCUGAAUAACACCCUAACCGUUGUUCUUUCCUAAAUUGUUUCCACAAUGUGCAGAAACAGAAUCAAUGUGGGAAAAGUUGGACAAAGCUCCAGUGGGCUUGGACUAAGUGCUCUUAGCACUUGCCUGACGUUAUUUAAUCUCUGAGCAUAUUUUCUUAGUCAUGAAUUGGAGAUAAAACCUAUCUUGUAGGGUUAGUGUGAGAAUUAGUUUAAAUAAUGUAUGUAAAAUUUAUCUGAAGGCUUGAUUUAUAUUAAUGUACUUCCCUACUCUUCUAAAGAUGUGAAGUAGACAAUCAGUAUAUUUAUUGACUUAUGUUCCUUGGGAUAGUAGAAUGUAGUAAAUUGGUAGUAAAAUGAUUGUAGUGGCUGGAGGAGGACUGAUAUAAGGAGGAACCUUAGGAUUAUGUCUCUUAUUUUGAAAUCUAAAUUGGGUGAAAAGUCAGUCUUUUAGCCAGUAACCAGCAGCUUAGCUUGCCUAGGAAAGCUUAAACUUUGAAAAGUGUUUAGUAUUUAUAUUGGAAAGGUAUCUGGCAAAACAGGGGAGGAGGCCUAGGAGUCGGGGGAGGAGGCCUAGGAGUCGCGGGAGCAGGGUACAUCUGAAGGUAUGUCACAUAAUUUAAUUCUUUGUGCAACAGGCUUCCAAAAGAAUCUGCUCCUUGAAUAUUGGAAACUAUUCAUCAAGCAGUUCUAAAUGUUUUGGGUAUUUGUCCUCCCAUUAACCUUAGCCACAUUCUAGUACUACAGCAAUGUCUAUCCCGUUCAGAUCUUUCCCAAUUUACCAACCUCUUGCUUUUAACAAAUAGGUUUGAGCCAUCCUCAGAGAAUCUUAUAUAUUUUUGAAGAAUUAAUGUGGCUUAGAUCAAAUAUAACCUUUGUUCCCUAAUACAGUAUUUAGGGCAGUUUUUACAUAUGUUAUCUGGUUUAUUUUGUGGAGAAUAAAUAACGACCUUUUAAAUGCUAAGUAUUUUGUUUUAACUUUUAUCAUGGAAAAUUUCACAUAUAUACAAGAAUAGAAUGAAACAAUGAGCUCAUAUGCCCAUCACUCAGAUUGAACAGUCAUUAAUUUAUGGGGCCAGUUUCCUUUUUGCUUUCCCUCUACUACGCCCUUACACCCUUAGCAAGUUUUAAUGAAUACCUACAUCUAGUGGUGGGUGAAGGCAAGAUAGCACAGGGUGCUAAAUUUCAGGAAGGUAAAUCAAGUGAGAAGGAAAAAGGUGGUUUUCCUAGCUGAUGUGGCUGUCAAGCAAAUAGAUUCUUAUUGUGCUUUUGUCCUUCUCUUGAUGGUUGGUUACUGCUAAAACAAAUUUGCCUUGUUAAUAUACCCACUUUCAGAUGGAAUUUUAUAUUUUUGUUCUUCCUAUUUGUUUUUUCCCCCAGGAGUGUAAAAAUUCUUUAUUUUUAUUUGAUUUUCACCCAUGUCAAAAUGUUGGGAGGUCUGUGCCAGGGCAUGAAAUUUAAUUUGCCCUGGGACCAAACACUCACCUGGAGACGUCUUUGUGACCAUCUGGAUUACAGAAGAAAAUAAAUUGUUUUUAUCUUUAUGGCAGAUUACUCAAAAUCAGCUUUGUUGCCAUCAUAGAUUUAAUGUCUCAAAUCCUCCCCAGCAAUUAUUUAAAAUUAUUCUCAAGAUUCAAAAAUUUGAUUGCAAGCUUUAACCGUUCUGCUAGAUUUGAGCAUUUUGGGGUUUAGAUUCUGUGUGAAAAUCUUUAAUUAGCCUUCUAUAAAUGGAAAUUGACAAUCAGGAUUUAAACAUCUUAAUUUUCUAGAAAUUAUAAAAAUUGUCACUUUUUUCAUGUAAAAAGUACUAUAAAAGAUUUUUUUAAAAAAGGGCCUUGAGCAGAGUUUGACUUUUUUUUUUCUGGACUGAAAUGGAGGCUUGCUUUCAAGCUAAUUCCCUGAUGUUUGCUAUGUGUGAUUUGGCUCUAUCUCUGUAACUACUAAUAUGUGGCAUGGAUUUCAAGCUGUCUGGGAUCAGGAUGUGCCCAAACUCUGUAUUGCAAGUCGGGAUUCAAAGGCAUUAUGUUACAAAACUGGCUUGCUGCCGUCUCUGUUUCUGUGUUCUGAGUAGCUGCAUUGUUUGUUGCAGUAUAUGCAUUAGCUCUUGUCUGUGUUCAGUUUCCUGCAGGCUGACAAAGUGGGAGGGGCUUCGUUUGAUACAUAGCUGAGUUUUGACUGUGUGAGUUCUUGAGUGCACAUUGCAGCCAUCUUAAUUACACUUUAGUGCAACUGAGACAGUGCAGCUGUCUCAAAAUGGCUGCUAAUCUAGUCUUUGUAGCUGCUUAGGCAGCCACUAUGCCACUGAGGAGACUUGUCACAUGCAUCAAGACCAGAGGUAAGAACCAAUUACUCUUUAUCUCUGAACAUUUUAAUUAAGAACAUUUGAAUUUUACCAAGUCUAUGUAGGAAGGUGAACUUAAUGCUUGCUAUGAAGUUGAAAUGUUUGCUGAUAGAAUCAUUAAGCCUCUGUUAUGGAAACAGUACAUUAAGAUGGUGAGGUCAAAGGUUAAAUUCCUAUAAUUUCUCACCAUCCUAUGUUCUGUCAUUGCCAGAACAUUUGAUCACCACAGUGUGCUUUUUUUGGUCCAGAUUAACUUAACGUUACUUUUAUGUUGGAUAUUUUAGUUUGCUUGAUGCUUAUUUGUAGAAUUAAAAACAAUAUAAUUAUCUCAAUAGAUUUUUUUAAAGGAAACUAUAAAUAAGCAUUGUUUUGCAUGAAGAUUGCAGUUUUUCUCUGUGUGUGUGUGUUUUGAAGGUAUUGUUUGGUAGAUUUCUGGGGAGAAUGUUAAAUCAUAGAAAGAAAAAAAUGUAUUUUUUAACGCUGUUAGAGGUUUUUGGUACUGUGGGUUCCACUUCUUUCUCAUUAUGCUGCCUCUUCCCAGCCAUCCAGUUCUUUCAUAUUUUUGAUGGGGCUGACUUUUUAUCCUAAUAAUUUUUUGCUUAAAUUGGCAUUCAGAUUCAGAUUUUGAAUUUAGAAAUAGUUCACAUCUUCCAGGUCUGGAUACACCUCUUCUUUAUAUCUAAGGUAUUCUAAUGCAAGAGGGCUGAAGUAAAUCUUAAUUUUUGAGUUAAUUAAGUGAUAAUUGAUGAUGUUCACUUCAUCUUAGUUAAAAUCUGAGGUAUAUUUAAAAGUAAUGACUCAGUAAUUUUAUAAAUUUAGUUUGAAAAAUUUUCAAAAAGCUUUCUUAACGUCAUUCUGAAGUUGAAACAUUUAUUGAGAUAUUGUAAAGUCCAUCGUGAUCCCAAAAGAUAAGGGAAUGAAAAUUUUAUUCACAUCUUUUAGAUAGCAGAACAGUUGGUUAUACUUAAAGCACUGAAGUUUAAAUCGCAUGCAGGACUUACUGAAAUUUUUUCUACAUGGUAUAGUGCAUUUCUCUGGCUUUGUCAAUAGAGUGCUGUGAAUAUAUCCCUGACUAAUAUGACAUAGAACAGUAAGUUUUGAACUUUCUAACUAUGGCAACUUUUUAAAAAAUAGCAACUUUUUGCACCUUAAAUUCUUUUGAAGGACCCUGGCAUAUAAAGGUGUAUGUAUGCUAUUUUAUUAUUGUUCACUUGUUUUAUAAUGUAAAUGGAUAACACUUAAUUAUACAUUUAUUUAAUAAAAUGAGAACAAUUAGGCUGUUUCAAUGAAAACAAAAGUUUGAAACAAGAUUGUGUAUGACAAUUAUGAUCUUAUUAUUAGUGUCAGGAUCUAGGUCACUUAUUUGUAGAAGUCCAGUGCUAAGGUACUGGAAUUUAGUUUGAAAAGUAUUCUAUUAGCACUAAGAACUAUGUCUAGAUACUUACAACGCAGCACGACAAUGGGAGAAAAAAUUAUGUAUACAUGUAUGUGCAACUGGGUCUCCAUGCUGUACAGUGGGGGGGAAAAAAAAAGAAUAUAUAGAAAUAAAAAAAA
rnacentral:lncRNA from 1 species